rnacentral:rRNA from 1 species
AUCGAACGCUGGCGGCAGGCUUAACACAUGCAAGUCGAACGAGUGGCGGACGGGUGAGUAAUGUUUGGGAAAUUGCCUGCUGGAGGGGGUUAACUACUGGAAACGGAAGCUAAUACCUCAUAUCAUCAGAUGUGCCUAGAUGGGCUUCGCUUGUUGGUGGGGUAACGGGUCACCAAGGCGACGAUCCCUAGCUGGUCUGAGAGGAUGACCGGCCACACGGGAACUGAGGCACGGUCCAAACUCCCACGGGAGGCAGCAGUGGGGAAGAGUGGACAAUGGGCGCAAGCCUGAUGCAGCCAUGCCGCGUGUAUGAAGAGGGCCUUAGGGUUGUAAAGUACUUUCAGCGGGGAGGCGGUAGCCGCAGAAGAAGCACCGGCUAACUCCGUGCCAGCAGCCGCGGUAAUAC